rnacentral:rRNA from 1 species
AAUAUUGGGCAAUGGGCGGAAGCCUGACCCAGCCACGCCGCGUGAGUGAUGAAGGCCUUCGGGUUGUAAAGCUCUGUUGGGUGGGAAGAAAAAUCCGGGUUCGAAUAGAGCCUGGACUUGACGGUACCUUCUUAGCAACCCCCGGCUUACUUUGUGCCCGUAGCCGCGGUAAGACAGAGGGUGCAAACGUUGCUCGGAAUUACUGGGCGUAAAGGGCGCGUAGGCGGAUUUGGAAGUCGAGUGUGAAAUCCCUGGGCUCAACCUAGGAACUGCAUUCGAAACUCCAAGUCUAGAGUGACGGAGAGGAAAGCGGAAUUCCCGGUGUAGAGGUGAAAUUCGUAGAUAUCGGGAGGAACACCAGAGGCGAAGGCGGCUUUCUGGACGUCCACUGACGCUGAGGCGCGAAAGCGUGGGGAGCAAAC